AUUGAACGCUGGCGGCAUGCUUUACACAUGCAAGUCGAACGGUAACAGGCCGCAAGGUGCUGACGAGUGGCGAACGGGUGAGUAAUGCAUCGGAACGUGCCCAGUCGUGGGGGAUAACGCAGCGAAAGCUGCGCUAAUACCGCAUACGAUCUAUGGAUGAAAGCGGGGGACCGUAAGGCCUCGCGCGAUUGGAGCGGCCGAUGUCAGAUUAGGUAGUUGGUGGGGUAAAGGCUCACCAAGUCAACGAUCUGUAGCUGGUCUGAGAGGACGACCAGCCACACUGGGGCUGAGACACGGCCCAGACUCCUACGGGAGGCAGCAGUGGGGAAUUUUGGACAAUGGGCGCAAGCCUGAUCCAGCAAUGCCGCGUGCAGGAAGAAGGCCUUCGGGUUGUAAACUGCUUUUGUACGGAACGAAACGGUCCUGGUUAAUACCUGGGGCUAAUGACGGUACCGUAAGAAUAAGCACCGGCUAACUACGUGCCAGCCGCCGCCGUAAAAC
rnacentral:rRNA from 1 species